CCCUACUUAACGCCAGAUGCGACUAAGGUGUUGGUCCAUUCCACUGUCCUUUCUCGCCUUGACUACUGUAAUCCGCUUCUCAGUGGUCUUACGUGCUCCCAACUUGCGCCGUUACAGUCCAUAAUGAAUGCGGCGGCGAGGCUCAUGCCUCACCCUUCUGUCAGUCCCUACAUUGGCUUCCUAUAAAAUAUAGAGCUCAAUUUAAAAUUCCGGUUCUUGCUUUCAAAUCUCUACAUAAUGCUGCUCCCACCUAUCUAUCCUUCCUUAUACACAAGUAUGUCCCGUCUAGGCCCUUACGAUCUGCUGAAGACUUACACCUAUCUUCUGUCCUUACUCCCACCUCUGAUGCCCGCCUUCAAGAUUUCUCGAGGGCUGCACCGUUCCUGUGGAACUCGCUUCCCUCCUCUGUAAGAUGCUCACCCAGUCUCCACUCCUUCAAAAAAUCGUUAAAAACCCACUUCUUCAUAAAAUCGUAUCAAUUAAACUGUUAAUAGCUCCUGACUGAUUCCUCUUCUGCAACUGUCACUAGUCUAAUACUAUCCUUACCUUUCUGUGUCA